rnacentral:lncRNA from 1 species
AUCGGAGAAGACGAGGAUUCAAAAUAGGUUUUGCAUAACAAAAGUUAUUUACUUAUUAUAUAUCAAUGAUAAUUUGAGCUUUGGGCUAGCCUUAAGCUGCUUUAGGAUCAGUCUGAUUCUAGACAGCAUUUGAUCUGAACUUAAAUUUUGUGCACGACCUGGUCUAAGCACGAAUAUACUUGGCCCACAUCCAGAGCCAUUAUCAUCUUCUUACAUCAAUUGGAUGUUGUUCAAAGGGAAUGGUUAAUAAAGUUUGUUACUCAAGGUAGUACUAAAGGGUCCACAGAUAACAAAAGUGUUUACUGAACUUGUGCAUCUUGUAAAGCCAGGCUAGUUAUUUCAUUUUUAUCAAAGAUAACGAUUUGUAUUAUCUUUAUUAUAAGUGAAAUGCUGAAAAAAUAGUGAAUAGUGAUUAGUCUGUGAAUAAUUAAGAUUUAAAAAGUUUCCACAAAAUUUUUAGGCAAAUAAACUUGGUAAACACUGGUACUAUUUUUACAUUGUAGCUAUAUAGCAUUUGAAAUUGUUAUUUUAUAGAAGUUUGUGAAUAUUCUGUUAUUUGUUAGCUAUUAAUGACAUACCAGUAAACCUGCACAUGAAGUUUAAAAAGUUUUUAAAAAAGUGUCUUUUAGUGGCAUGUAAAGUUUUUACAUGCUCUUUGACAAAUUAUAUAUUUGAGCAUUGAGAUGCAUGACAUGCAUUUUUGGUUAAAAUGGUUGAAUUGGGUACCUCAUAACAUUGCACCUCAUAGCAUUGUAGCUUGUCAUGUCUAUGCUGGUGGGCCACACAUGGUAUGCAUGGGAGAUACAUUGCCUAAAUUGUUAAGGAACACUUUAUAUGCCAAGUUUUGUUUUGUUUUGUUUUGUUUUUUUUAUUUUUUCCCCAGAUUCUAGGUGACUUUCAAACUUUGGUUUCUGUAAGGUGACAAAGAGAUAUGAUUUGAGCUUUCAAACAAGAAUUUUGACCCUUCCAACACUGAAUAUGUGAAAGGACAGAAACAAUGUAUGUCAUGGAAGACAGAUCUUUCAUUAUAGUUAAAAAUUUUCAUUAGGAGCAAGACGUAUAGUUGAAAUAAUAUAAAUAAAAUAAAACAUGACAGCUCUCAUUCUCAUCCUAGUCAUCACCUAGGUUGUCCUGCAUUUUGCAGAGAUUGUCUGCUUAUGACUUGCUAGUAUAUGCUUAAUCUAUCAGAUGGUGUAAAUCAUAUUCUGAAAUUUUAUAAUGUUUGCAACCUCUAUGAACUAACUGACCUCCAAUAAAUAGAAGUGUGGUCUUCUGGACUGACAUCAUUGUGUUGUUAAUCAUCAGUUUGAGAGGGAAGAAGUUGCAUUAAAAUGCUAAUAUCACGCCUUCCACUUUUCUUCGAUACGCCUCCUUGCUUGUUUUCAUCACCAUUUAUAGGAAAGGGAUUAUAGACAUGCAAAUUCUAAUACGCUAAAUGGUGAUUCAUUGUGCUGUACUUGAUAUGAUCUGAUUUUCCUUUUAACCAGCCUAAGCUACGACGCCAUUGAACUUAGGAGGCAGAUUAAGGCAUUUUUAUCCUCUUUAGUUCUUGCUAAUGAAGCUUGAGGCAUGUAGUUCUGUCAGUGUAGUUUUGUUCGUAAGACUUUUAUCUACUGUUUUCAUCCCUCUCCCUACCUUUUGUUUCUAAGUUACUUUCCAGUUCAUACUGAUGAACAGAGGAUAAUCUUCUUGAAUAUUAGAUGGAAGUGGGUAAGUGAAUCGUAAAGGGCUAUGCCAUUCCAAAAGAUAAAAAAUAAAACUAUAAAAUCUACUUGCUAUAACAAAUUGAAGAUUCAGCCAUAUGCAGAAUAAUACAACUCCACCACUACCUGUGAACCAUUUGUAUUUGGUAAUUAUUAAACCAAACAGUCAUUUUUGAACUGGUAUGUACAAAUGUUGACUAAUCGAAUCAAUGCUGAAGCUAAGUGAACUUUGAUGGUGGAUUUGCUAAGUGAAAGCAUUUUUAUGAUUUAUUGGAUCAUUGUUGCAGCUUUUAAAUAUCUUUCUUUCAAGUCCUGUUUGCUUAUUUUUAGCUUCUCUUUGGUUGAUGUAGAGGUUGGCAAAGCGACUUAUAGGAAAGGGACUUGAAGCUAAUGCAAGGCGAAAAAAGAUCAACAAAUUUAAGGAGUCAGCUUGGAAGUGUGUUUAUUUUCUUUCAGGAGAGCUUCUAUCUUUGUCUGUUACAUAUAACGAGCCAUGGUUCAAAAGUACCAGAUACUAUUGGGUAGGACCAGGAGAGCAGGUUUGGCCAGAUCAACAAAUAAAGUACGAUUUAUGUAGAUCCUCUUCUUUUCUGUUAAUUUUAUUGCAAAAACAUUUGAUUUGGAUGGAAAUCUAAUGAUUUUGCUUCUUGUUUCUCAGACUUAAACUUAAGGCUGUAUACAUGUAUGCUGCUGGAUUUUACACGUAUUCUAUAUUUGCCCUGCUGUUUUGGGAAACAAAGCGGUCAGACUACGGAGUGUCAAUGUCUCAUCAUGUUGCAACUGUUGUUCUUAUAGUGUUGUCUUAUAUAUUCAGGUUAGUUUCUGUAUGGAUAUUGGUUGCCACGAUAAUUCUCUAUUAUCAUUCUUGCUUUCAAAUCCUUUCUAUGAAACCAUGGUUUUCUGAUAUCAAAAUCAUGCUUUUGAAGAUAUUUGCUAUCCUUUGUUGUUGUUUAGUGGCCCUUUCUGUACUAUUCUAUUUUCAAUAUUCGUUAUUGACAUAUGAGGUUCAAGUAUGUAAGUGUACUGCAUUAUCUUACUAGGGCUUAAAGCCAUUUGUGUAUGUUUGCAUAUGUGUCAUAUGCACAGUUAUAUAGGACUCAUUUGUGAUCAUAAGGCAGCCUGAAGGUUGUGUAUACAUCUUCCGUGUGUGUGUGUGUGUAUAUAUAUAUAUAUAUAUAUAUAUAUAUAUAUAUAUNNNNNNNNNNNNNNNNNNNNUAUAUAUAUAUAUAUAUAUAUAUAUAUAUAUAUAUAUAUGAUAAAUGCAGAUAGAGAAUGUAUGAUGACACAGUGGAGAUUGGAGAAUAUACCCCACAUGUAUUUGCCAUAAUAUUUUAUUAUUUAUUCUAGUACAACAUCCUUAUAUAUAUAUAUAUAUAUAUUUAUAUAAGUGGGGUAAGGUGGAGAGGGAUAAUGGUGGAUUGAUACAGAAACUGUUGUGAUAAGGAUGAUGUGACAGACUAGAUAGAAAGUUGCCAAUGUACUAAUAAGCAAAAAGAAUAUAGAUUAAACAUGAGGAUUGUGAAUUGAAGAAAUGGCAUUAAUGAGCAUGUAGAAGCGCAAGCUUAUUUUACAUAGAGCUGUCUCAUUGACAAUUUUAUUGUUUUUCCCUUUGUACUUUUUUUAUCUUGAAUGCUUCUUUUCGUGGCCUCUUCUGUUCUUUUCCUCUCUCCUUUGUCUGAUUUUUUUUUACUUUCCCUACUUAGCUGAACCAAUAGAGUGCUGUUAUCUGCCCCUUCUCGGGUGAACCAAAGGAAGCUAACCAUCCACCCUUUUAUCUUGAUUCCAGCAUCUCCUUAAGAUAUAAUACACACACAGCCAUGUCCCUGUGAUUUGUGGCUUUAUUGGUUGCAGUUGAAUUCUCUAGGACACCUUAGACACUUGACAAAGUAUCCUGUGUCUAGGUAAACUGGUUUACACACACCGUCAAAUUCAAGAUGGGGCUUGCAAUAUUUAAGUUAUCUAUUGAAUAUAUGGAGGCCUCUUGCUCGUAUAUGAAGUUGCCCAAAAUCAAAACAGUGUAUAUGUGAUAAAAAAACUAUCUUUUGGGAUAACUUGUUGCAUAGGCAAGAGGUCUUAUAAACAUAUAAUUUGUUGUUUGUAUACAUUUUACACCUUACAAUAAACCCAAUGGUUUAGAUUUUCAUUUUGCAACCUUCACCUUUGGAUUUGGUGGUGUGUGCAAACCCCCCUCUUUCUACCUUGUGUAUAAUAUAUCUACCUUAUAUGCAGACGCAUGUAUCUAUUUAUGUAUUUAUCUAUGUAUUUGUGUGAUUUCUCAAAAAAAUCUAUGUAUAUGUUUUUGUGUAUGUAUAAGGUAGAGUUACUAGCCACAACCAUAGGGUGGAAAGAAUGGAUUUGGCACCUAUUGCCAAAUUCAUUGAUGGGGGUUAUUGUUUCCCCCCAACUAGAAUGCAGAAUUUGUCAUGGAGUCAAAAAUUGCCAGAAUGUAACACCUAUCAGUGAAUUUGGCAAUUUGCUCCAAAAGAAAUUGAUGACUUCGAGACAUGGAUUUAGAAACUGCUAGAAUGUGAUAACAUCAUUGGUAUCAAUUACCAUUUUGACACGAAGCCGACACUAGAAUAGGUGCCUGGAUGUCGAAACCAUCCGUAUCAGUAUGCACAUGUCCUACUAGUCCAUAUCAGUUUGCAUUGGUGUAUACCCACAAUGUGGUACUGACUGUACUAGUUAAUACCAAUUGGUUUUUCAUUCAUUUUAUUGCUAUCAGUGCAUACUACCAGCACUGGUAUUGUACCCAUACCUUACAUCGUGGUGGAAAAAUGGUACAGGGUUCGGUAUGGGUAUCGAAAACCUUGCUUGGAGACCUUUGACCGUAUGGGGAUGAUUAGAAGAAGGUAUGAUAGAAGGCUAGAACAAGAAGUUAGCAAGCUUGCUAGCAAGCAAGUAAAGCAAGAGAGAGCACGAAAAGCACAAAUGCAAUAGCAAGAGCUCUCUAUAGCUGAUAGACAAGAACAAAGCCUAAGAAUUUAGAUUAACUAGGAAUGGUAGGUACUAAAUUUCCUAACCAACAGUUCCAGUGUAUCUUUGAAGUAAGAGCUGCUUAUGCCCAAAAUUUUUGCAAUGUGGUUGUUGGUGUCUGCGUGGACUGGCUCGUGAUAUUUAUUGCUAAUAUAAUAUCAGACCAUGUAAUGAUUAAAUAAUUUAUUGUACCAACUAACACUGGUAUUGCCUUCCAUCCUCCAAGAGUUGGAGUGUUAAUAGGCUUUGAUCUAAGUAUAUAUGUUUUUGUUAAUAGCUUAGUGGCAUUUGAUUUAGUUUUUUCUUGUCUUUCUCAACAAUAACUAUCAAUUCUUGUCCAAAUUAUUUGGAGUGUGCUUUAUGGAUCCUCAUUGGCUAGGCAUUCCUUUUUAUGGCUUCAUCUGAUAUUUUUGGAUUUUGAUCUGUAUCAUUGUGAGUUGAGGCAUUAAAAGUCUUAGGGUGCCUUGUAGUGAGUUUGAAGGAAAAAGCCUUAGGAUGUUUGCUGAUACAUCUGUUUGAGGCAUGGCUUUCCAGAAUUGAGGUGUUUGCGUACGGAGGGAAAAAAGAGGUCUAAUUCUUGCACACUAUGUGCAAAGUGCAUGUCAUUGACACCCAUUAAAGGGUAGGGUAGUUAAGAUCACUUUCAUCGAUCACUUCCAACCAGAUUUUCCAUUCACUUUUUUUACUUGACCUGGACAGACUCUAGUUCUGGUUACUGGGACUCUUGGAACAUUCCGAGCUUUGCAGCUCCUUGUUGAGUAUGGAGGAUAUUUCAACAAAUGAAUGAUCAUGCACUCUGUAAGAAAUCUAAAAGGUUCUUUUGGCUUUCAAUUGCUGCAUUAUUUAUAGAUUUUAGAGAUGGGAGCAGCUAAUCCCCACCCUCUACCCUAUACCCACCCCACCCAGGUUAGAGCCCAGCCCCCAAGCAUUUGAUUGUAGAAGACAUUUGAUUUAGUUUUGUCAUGUCUUUCUUGACAAUAAACAUCAAUUCUUGUCCAAAUUAUUUGGAGUCAGCAUUAUGGAUCCUCAUUUGCUAGGAAUUCGUUCUUAUGGUUUCCUCUAAUAUCACAGUGAGUUGAGGCAUUAGAAGUCUUAGGGUGACUUGAAGUGAGUCUAAGGAAAAGUCUUGGGGUGUUUUCUUACACAUCUGAUUGAGGCGUGUCUCUCUAGGAUUCAGGUGUUUGCUUGAGGAGGGACAAGAGAUGUUCGAUUCUUCCACUCUAUAUGCAUAAUACAUGUCAUUGACAACCAUUAACUGGCAGGGUAGUUAAGAUCACUUUCUACCAGAUUUUCACUUUCCUUUUUUCACUUGACCUGGAAAUACUCUAGUUUUGGUUGAUCGGAACUCUUGAACAUUCCUGGCUUUGCAACUCCUUGUUGAGUAUGAAGGACAUUUCAACCAAGAAAUGACCGUCCAUUGUGCACGAAACCAAAAAGGUUUUUUUGGCCAUCCACUUCUAUGUUAUCUAUAAUUUUUUUUUUCUUUUGAAAUUGGGAGGGGCCAUUCCUUGUCCUCUACCCCAUACCUACUCCACCUUACCCCACCUAGGCUGGAGCCUAGACCCCGGGCUGAUUGAGCCAUUGCUUGCAGAAUCGUGGCCUGGUUGAAGCAAGGGCCAAUGCUCCCUGGAAUCAAACCUCCGCCUUUUUUCUAAAGUGGCGAGGGAUUGUACCCGAACCAAGGUUCGGUGAUCUGUGUUAUUUAUAAAUUAGAAACAGAUUUCGGUGGAUUACAUCCAUGAAUAAGAAAAUAGUUCCCAUUGGGAUAUUCACAUGAUGGGUAAAUCCUCUUUGCAUGAGCCUUAUGGAUUUUGUAAGUAUGAUACUGCAUGGACAGAAACCAUUAUAUUCCUGCACUUGGAUGUUACGCUAGUGAAUAUAGGGUUCGAUCUUCUGCUCUCCACUAAUACUUACCAUCAAUCGAAAGUCACAAACAGGUGACAACUAUUAUAUUUUACAUAUCCUUGAAGUCCUUGCAUGGUGAGUAUAUUAACUAAAUAAACAAUCUUAGUUGAUUGCAAAUCAACCUGUUUUGCCCUGCUAUAAGAGGUUCUUCAAGAUAUUGCAACUGAUAUCACUUAAUAAAUUGUUGUGAACUGUGUUAUUGUUGACCUGAAACUUUUCCUAGUUUCAGUGCGAUUGUUGGUGUGCCUCUUGGACCAUAAUUUCUAUGCCUAUUUUGUAAUGACUACUCGAAUUGUUACAAACAUGCAAGCUUUGGGUAAAACUUGCAUUUAGACAUGCCAAUGCUGGUACACAUUUAUUUUAUGGCUGCACGAUUACAGAGAUUGUCAAUUUGUUUCAUAUGGCAUUGCAGUAUAGCCCCAUAUAUAACCAUGAAUUGCCAAAUGAAUAGCAUUUUUAGAAAGAUCACUAAAUUUUUGUGUUGAAAAAAAUGAAAAGAAUAGGAUUCAAGUUUGUAAAAAGACAUAUACUAAGUGUUAAGCAAGGUUUGCAAUUGGAGCAUUGUCUAAACCAUAAAAUAUUACAUCUGUUUUUUUUGUUACUUUUCUAAAAUCCUUAUUUCUGCUGAUGGUUACAAUAGUUAUGUUUCUUUUGAUAUGAGACUGUUUCUUAUCUUACCUUACAAACAGGUUUGCUCGUGUUGGAUCGGUUGUGUUGGCCGUUCAUGAUGCAAGCGAUGUGUUUUUAGAAAUGGGGAAGAUGGCGAAGUAUGGUGCUUGUGAGUGGCUGGCCAAUGUGUCAUUUCUUCUUUUUGUUGCUUCAUGGAUUAUACUUCGCCUCAUAUAUUUCCCUUUCUGGAUCCUCCGAAGUACAAGGUAAGCAUGAGUUGCUCAAUGUAGGUACCAUAAACUGCAUGAUUUCAAUCCCGGUUUUCAAUCUUGGUAUUGGACUUGUACCAGUACCCAGUUGGUACUCCCUGUAUGGACACUUUAUGGUACAACCUUGUUAUUGACAUUUGAUAUGGAGGCAUACCGGUUUUAAUAGCCUAGCAAUAUGGUAUGAUAUGCUCCAUAAUGGGUGGUAAAGUCCAAUAUAGCAAGCCAUGAUUUCAGUGCUCUCAUUGUCAUAGUUAAGGAGGAAAGGACAAACCCAUUUAGGGGAGUUUCAGUGCAUCAAUAGUUUAUUACGGAUAGAAACUAAAGAUGAUGGCUAUUGGAAUUGCAUAUUAUAGUAUAUUUUCUUCCCAUUCAAGACAAUUCUGUCUGUUUCUUUGUUAAUAUACAUUUAAGAAUUAUAUUCACAAGAACUUCUAAAGCUGCAAUUUUUCAUGUCAUGUAUUCCGUUCUUUGAGCAUUUUUUUGAAACUGUUUACUCCAAAAAUUUGUUUGAUUCGGUUACAAGUCUUAUGAGUUUUGAUUUUUCAUAUAAUUUGCAAAACUAUGGUAACAAAUGACUUAAAAAUUGAAAAAGCAAUGGCAAUUUUCUUAUCUGAAAACCAAGGUUCGUCGUAUUGGUUCGUAUUGCCCCAUACCGGACAUACCGUACUGUAUCAGUACUGAAUAGAGAUUUUGUAUGAAGGGUGUAGCGAGCCUCAAAACACUAAUCUGAUCCCUGUACUGGGCAUAUGGACACUUUAUUAGCAUGGUAUUAGUAUGGGAUCCAGUAUUGAGAUUGUGAACCUUGAACAAUUAAGAUCCAUAUGAGCACAUGGUGAGAUCAUGUCAUAGCUCUAAUGUCAGCCAUCAAGAGGGCAGUAUGAGAAUCAUUUCCUCGUUGAUUCACUGGAUUUGUUGACAGUUUAUUGACAGAUGGUCCAUAGCUAAUUGAUUGUUCAUUAGAGGGUAACAGAACAACCAUCUGGCAAUUGGAUAGUGUAGGAAUCAUACAUGGACCUCUAUCAUCUCAAAGUGGAACAACCUUCUUCAUGAUAUUAGGAAGAUCUCUGGGUCGAGAUGCUGGUAUAAAGUGGAACCAUAUGAUGAGGUCAUGGUUGUAGAUCUUGUGGUAUAAUUCUUAUCAUGUUGAUUCAAGCCCAUGAUCUGUUGUCCAGAGCGCUGAAGGAACAAAAUUAGAGCAUCAGUCAUGUAGACAGGCUAGAUUAAUCUUUGCAAGAUAGUUUGCUUACUGUUUCAGAUUUGAACUAGAUUUUAGGAAAGUUCUAUGAGUAUCAGUUGGGUGUAGUAAGAAUUAGAUUUUGGGAUAUGACAAUGAUCAAUGUAAUGCUUCUAUAAGCGUUAAUAAACAGUUGGACAUGUCCACUAAUGGAAGGCCUGAAUGCUAGUAGAAGGUGGUCAUAUCAAUAUGUAGCUUCUAAAAUUGUGUUCAGACCAUUGGCUAUUAGAUAGUAUAAUCAGCUGGUGGAGCUGACAGCAGUAGUAGAGGUCAGCAAUAGUAAGGGGACUAUCAUAGAUCCUGCAAAAAAAGGAUGUCUCAGCUGUUGCCACUGCAUGGUCUGGGGAGAGGUAGAUGUACGCAGUUUUAUCCUUGCGUGUAGAGGCUAUUUUUGUGUUUGGAACUCGUGACAUACAUAUCAUAAUGGAACAACCUUGCCAUUGUGCCAAGGCCCGCCCUAUCAUAGAUUCUGGAAGUGGUAACAAAUUGUGCGAGGAGCAAAUAUAGGGUGGAAAGAGUUUUCACUGACAUUUUAUGUUUCUUUUUUUUUUUUGGUUGCUAAAAACGGAUGUUUCAUACAACACAGGUACGAAUACACCCAGUAGAAUCUGCAACCAAAAGAUCCCGGAAUGCACCGGGUAAAUCAUCUCCACCAACCCAUAGGGUGCCUCCUGAGUGGCUCGCAACAUAUGCUGCCACCCAGUCGGCCGCCCCAUUGGCCUCACGAUAUACAUGCAUAGCUCGAAAGCUAAUCACCUCUCUCACUAUCAACCAUAUGUCACGGAGCAAAGGAUGAACUCCUCCACCGCUGCGAGUGCCCUGCUGGAUCCAGCUGAUCACUGUGGCCGAAUCGCCCUCCAAGAAAAUGGAACUCGCCUGAAGUACAUGUCGUGCAUACCGCAAUUCCAUCCAAGCCGCACGCAGCUCUGCCCCUGGGACCGAGGUAUCAAAGAUCUGACAACCCCCUGCUGCCACCGUGCUGGAGCUCGGGCCCCUGAUAACAAAUCCCGCCCCUCCUCUCCUGCCCCCAUCCAGGACUGAGCCAUCAAAAUUGACCUUGAGGAAACUCGGGGGUGGGGGCUCCCAGGUGAAAAACACCGUAUGAGAAGCUGCCGAAGCAGUAUGGGAGUCCCAGAUGUCCCGAGCUGUCAAAGGUCUAUGCUCCGAGCCUACAUGAAGAAACUCUGCUGCCUGAGCCCGAGCCCGAGCCCGAGCCCGCUCCAUCACGAACCGUGGGGACGGACUGUGCUCGCCAAACACUCGGGCGUUCCUGGCCAUCCAUAGCUGGUAUACGAUGCAGGACACCCUAAUAGCCUCCCGACGCAUCUGAAGGGAGCUAGACCAACGCCGAACCUCCUCCAGAAAACACUCCCUCCGACUCCACACACCCUCCGGGAUCCCAGACAGCCUCCAUGUCCGCCUCGCCCAGACACACUGGAAUAGUGCGUGAUCCACUGUCUCGUCUACCUCACAAUACAGGCACACAGAGGGGAUGCUAACACCACGUCGGCUCAAUGCCAAGCUCGUCGGCAAGCGGUCCCAGGCUACCUUUCAGAGAAAUAGUGCAACCCUCUGGUGUAGCCCAAACCUCCAUACCCAGCCACAAUGCCUACCCAGCUCUGACUCCUGCUGGAUAACCCGAGAAACAUCACCAACCCUGACUCUGGCCCUGCAAGUGGUGCUCCAUACUCUGACAUCUGGACCUGCUGAUCCCGGAAUGGGAAGGGCUCGUACCCGCUCUGCUAAAUGCUCCCCGAAUAACUGGCCCAGUCUGUCGGUAUCCCACUCUGCCUCCCCCGGCCUGAGAAGGUCACACACCCGGAGCCCCGCCAUCCCCUGACCGCUAAUCAUCGUCGGCCACAACCUCAAUGGAAGAGCGUCCACCCAUGGGUCCGCCAUCACAUCAAUGCUCCGUCCGUCGCCAAUCAACCAUCUAGAAUAUGCCAGGGCCAUAGGCACAUACCUUCCAAUCUCCCGCCACAUAAAGGAACUCCUCCGGCCACCCGCCACCGGUCCAGCUAAGCCAGCUCGACAAUAUCUACCGAUCAUGACCUGACUCCAUAAUCCGCAUGGCUCCAGAACAAUCUGCACCGCCCGCCGCGCCAGGAGUGCCUCUCGCCUCAUUAGAAGUGACUGCACCCCCAAACCACCCUCACUCAAAGGUGGUUUCUGCAGUGGAAUUUGAAAGCAGGGAAUCCAUCACAACAACAAAAAAUGAACGCUUACUUUUAAGAGGUUGAAUACCCCAUGAUUUGUCUAAAUCAUAGUAUAUUCCCUUUUUCCUAGAUUGCUUAUGCAUAUUGAUAAACGACUUUAAGGUCAUAUUGCAUUUUUCUUAAACUUUUUAUUCUGUAGAGUUGUCAUGUUGUGCACUCCUUAAGAGCAAAGAAACAGCAAAAUUGAAAAGGUUAUUCCAAAAAAUGCCCUAAGUUGGGCCUAAAAUUGCUGAAAGGGCAUGAUCUCUUAAGAAGGCCUAUAAUAUUUUGACACGGUUUGGUUUGGCUUUGGAUAUUUUCGUCAUGUCUAAUAUGACAUUUUGAAGAGUAGUUUCAAAGUUAUCCUGCAACUCUACGCUAUUAGCUCAUAAAGCUAAGUCAAUGAUUUCUUUGAACACAAUUACUGGUGGAAUACAUCAUUUUGCUUGGCAUAAUAUUUAUGCACUAUAUAAUUUGUACUUUUGUAACUAAUACUGAUCUCUUGUGUUUGAUAUUGAAUCAGCUGUUUCCAUCUAGUCUGGAAGUUUUGUCCGGUAGUAUUUUAAGAACAUAUAACCUUAUCUCUCAUUUUUUGGCCUGAUGUGGCAGUUAUGAAGUUUUACUGUCUCUGGACAAGGAGAAGCACAAGUUUGAAGGACCAAUAUAUUAUUAUAUCUUCAACACACUUCUAUUCUCGCUGCUUGUUCUUCACAUUUACUGGUGGGUUUUAAUCUUCCGGAUGCUUGUAAAGCAAAUUCAGUCCAGAGGAAAUAUUGGGGAUGAUGUUCGAUCUGGUAAUUGCCUUUUUUAUUGAUGUAUUUGCAAAACACAUUUACCAGAUGAAUACCCAAACACAAACACAAA